GUGACUGCGUACCUUUUGUAUAAUGGGUCAGCGACUUAUAUUCUGUAGCAAGGUUAACCGUAUAGGGGAGCCGGAGGGAAACCGAGUCUUAACCGGGCGUUAAGUUGCAGGGUAUAGACCCGAAACCCGGUGAUCUAGCCAUGGGCAGGUUGAAGGUUGGGUAACACUAACUGGAGGACCGAACCGACUAAUGUUGAAAAAUUAGCGGAUGACCUGUGGCUGGGGGUGAAAGGCCAAUCAAACCGGGAGAUAGCUGGUUCUCCCCGAAAGCUAUUUAGGUAGCGCCUCGUGAAUUCAUCUCCGGGGGUAGAGCACUGUUUCGGCUAGGGGGCCAUCCCGGCUUACCAACCCGAUGCAAACUGCGAAUACCGGAGAAUGUUAUCACGGGAGACACACGGCGGGUGCUAACGUCCGUCGUGAAGAGGGAAACAACCCAGACCGCCAGCUAAGGUCCCAAAGUCAUGGUUAAGUGGGAAACGAUGUGGGAAGGCCCAGACAGCCAGGAUGUUGGCUUAGAAGCAGCCAUCAUUUAAAGAAAGCGUAAUAGCUCACUGGUCGAGUCGGCCUGCGCGGAAGAUGUAACGGGGCUAAACCAU
rnacentral:rRNA from 1 species